AGUUGAUCGUGCUUCUCUCAUAAAUAUAGGACUCUAGUAUGAUGUGAAACUGAAAAUCACGUGAUCUUGGAAAUGCGCGUCAUUAUAUCAAUGCCAAUUUCGAUAAAUCUUGACGAAGUUAAUAUUAUAAAUGUCGCUUCUUAUAUACUGUCACAUAGAGUACCUAAAUAAGAGUAAGGUUAACAGGGUAACGAUUAGUGAUUGGCCCGCCAAAUUGAGGCAAAAGCGGAAGUUAUGUACCCGUGUGUACUAUCAGUGUACAUAAUCGAUUAAAAGAUUGCAACAGGUUUUUUUUUAUGAUUUUCGGAAUGCAGCCUAUUCACCGAGCGAUUGGUCCUUACUUGCGGAUUCUCGGUGAAUGUAUAAUACAUAUGAUGUACACCAUUUACAUAGUCAUUUACGCUAUUCCGAGCGAGUUUUCUAUGUGUCAGAGGUGAAUGGUUCAUUUGCUAGUCAUUUUAUUCGACGAGUCAUUCGAACUGAAAAGGAGAGAGCUAUAAUGCCCGGCUGUGUAAUAGAUUAUUGCAUAAACUCUGCUAAAAAGGAUUUUAAAAUGUGUCGUUUUCACGAGACUGCUAAAAAGACCAAAAAUUUGUGCUGAAAGUACAGGACAAUAAGACAACUCCAUCUAAUAUUUCAGUGUUAUGUACAUUUUGAUGCAGAAAUGUUUUCAUGCAAAAAUGAAAAUAGAGAGAAGACAUAAUUGUAUAUUGAUUUAUUAUUUUAUAUGCAAUUCUAUCUUCAUUAGUUAUGUUUUGAAUGUAA